rnacentral:misc_RNA from 1 species
UCACAUGCUUUGGCGUUUUGGGAAGACCGGCAGAGACAAGGAUGGACCCGGCGCUGGCGGUGAUGUCGCCUUUCCAGAAUGAGGCGAGGGGCAUUGAUGGGAUGCUGGAGGACGCUGUAGAGGAGAUCACGCGGCCCUCGUCGAUCGGCGCAACUAGCGGCAACAACCAAACUUCUGGCGCGGCUGACGGCGCCUCUGUCGAACCUCCUGCGUUGGCGGCUCUUCCCCUGACGCAAUGCAGCUUCUGUGCCCAGUCUACCACCACCCGCGCUGUUCCAAAGGACGGCAUGUACGUGUGCACUAACUGUUUAGCUGAGCAGGGAAGCCGGCCUCGUUUGUUCCCGCUCGGCACUUUCAAGUGUUGCCCCACCUCCACAGAGGCGAUGGACGGUGAUGUGGUGCGGUGCGCUGGUUGCUACCGCUGGUACCACGUGCACUGCGUAGGCAUCACGGAUAGCGUGCUGCGGAACUAUGUAACUCUUUCCACCACCUCGUGGUACUGCCCGGAGCCGGCCUGCUGCGAUCGCGUGCUGCGAAGGCAUUUGAAGAGGUAGACACAUGAUCAGCGACAACCAAAGGAAAGCAAGUGAAAAAAGCCAUGAUGAAUGUGUGUCUCUGUGUAAGACGGAACUCGGAGAGGAUAGCGCGGGCGAGGGGGGGGGCGGAGGAGUUUUCAUCUCUCCUCUUCUUUUUCCCUCGGUUCUCCUUCUGUGGGUAUUCAAUACUCCGCGUGUGGGGAGGCGUCCGUGCGUGUAUGCACCCGAUGUACUGUGCACGGUGCCAUACGACGUGUACGCUCU